CCUCUCUCUAAGAAGUUGACCGGAGAAGGUGGAGGAGGAAGCUCCGGCGCGGCGGCCGGCCGGUUUCCGGCGGCGGCGCCACCGCGCCGGAAAAAUCAAACUACUUUUUUUUUAAAAAAAUUUAUACCAAAAGCUUCGUCUCCUCCUCCUCUACACAAAUCCGGCACUAGUUUUAGAAAGGGCUGAGAGAUUUGGGCUAGAUCUACACUUGAACUUCGAAAAAAAAUUCACACUUUUUUUGAAAAAUAACUACGGAUCUAGAUAUCCUUUUCUCUCUAGAGUCCGAAUUCGGCCUCAAAAUUUCCAAAAUCCGAACACAGAAGCCUAGAUCUACAAAUCUUUAUCCGUAACAAACUUUUUCACAUGCAAUUUCAAGCAAGAAACGCGCGGAAAUGGCUUAGAAAGGAAGGAGAAACGCGUUACAUCUGUCGUAGAACGGAGAAAAAAGAUAUUCGGAAAACUUCGAAUCUCUCCUCUUCUCUUUCGCGCGCGCUAUAGCCUCCGUUGGUGUUGUUUUUGCUCGAAAAUCCGGUACGAUUUUGGUGUUGAUGUGAUGAUUCGAGGUGGUUUUGAGUGAAUCCGGUUCGGAUUCGUUGAUUUGGUGAUGAUCGGAGUUGGUUUUGAGCAGAUCUGGUUCGGAUCUGUUGAUUUGGUGAUGAUUUGUUCUUGGUGUUCUUCCCUCUUUUCUGAGAUUUUUUGUGUUUGAUUCUGUUAGGAUGAGAGAGAAAACGAAAUUCUGUUUGUGAGUUGGCACUGAUUUUUUUUUUAUUGAUCUGACACAUUUACUAUUUAUAGCCUGUCAUGUGUAUCUGAGAACCAAUGAAAAAUGACAUCUGUUUUGGGACUGAUGUGGAUCGAAAAUCUGGACUAAAAUGCCCCUGGGACCUUUCUGCAAAAUAAAAAACUUGAAGGACUGGACAGCAAUAAAAAAUGGACUAAAAUGAAAUUUUUAAAAGUUUUGGACCAAAACGUGAUUAAAAAUAAAAUUGAACUAAAAAGUAAAUUUGACGAAACGUAAAGCGAAACCAAAAAUAAAAUC
rnacentral:lncRNA from 1 species